GCAGGCGCAUGGUUUUCCUCGUGGAAUUUUGCGAUCCUGAUAUUGCAAUCCAUAGCCAACUGUGAUAAUAGUAUUACCGGCCUAGCGCCAGGGGAACGGCUGCUGGAGCCCAUCGCAGACUAACUCGGUUGACAGUGUUGAAAAGGUGAUAUGAUCUCAAGUCAAGCAUAAGUUGGUGGUGAACUUGCAGCUUGUCGCUCGCCCAGAACUAAACCCGCUGGAGUGAUUCUCAACCAUCUGAUUGGAGGCUAUUCCUCAUGACGUGCAUGGAACUGUCCCAUUAGUACAGAUUUGUAUAAGAUCGCUUGAUGAGGUCCUUUAUCUCAGACCUCGUUUUAAACAGCGCCUGGGAGAAAGCAUUUUCAAGGCAGAGAAUCAGAUGUCUACAGCACCUUUUUUUUUCUUUUUUCUUUUUUUUUUUUUUUUGAAACAUUCACGAUAAGAUAUGUUAUUCUCAACCACCUAGCUAGAGAGAGCUCUGACCUUGUUUCAAACAAUCAGAAAAUAAUACGGAACUAGUAGUACCUCUGAAUCCCACCAGUUAAUUUGUCAAGGCAUCACUUAUAUACGAUGGGUUUCCGUCGAUGCGGCACUGGAGAACUAGCGAAAAUUGUUACUUCCAGUGGAGCCCCGUAGACUGGUGGCCUGCAUGUCAAUUAAAUGAGAGAAAAGAGAAAGGUUAUUUUCAUUUUUAGAGGC
rnacentral:sRNA from 1 species